rnacentral:rRNA from 1 species
GAUGAACGCUGGCGGCGUGCCUAAUACAUGCAAGUCGAGCGGAAACACUUCGGGUGUCGAGCGGCGGACGGGUGAGUAACACGUAGAAACAUACCCCAAAGUGAGGGAUAAGCCAGAGAAAUUUGGUCUAAUACCGCAUAUGGUCCUUGGAUUAAAGCCUUCGGGCGCUUUGGGAAUGGUCUGCGACAAGAUUAGCUAGUUGGUAGGGUAAAAGCCUACCAAGGCUACGAUCUUUAGCUGGUUUGAGAGGAUGAUCAGCCACACUGGAACUGAGACACGGUCCAGACUCCUACGGGAGGCAGCAGUAGGGAAUCUUCCACAAUGGACGAAAGUCUGAUGGAGCAACGCCGCGUGCAGGAUGAAGGCCUUCGGGUUGUAAACUGCUUUUAUUAGUGAUGAAUAUGACGGUAACUAAUGAAUAAGGGUCUGCUAACUACG